rnacentral:rRNA from 1 species
GACAGAGGGGGCAAGGCGUUGCUCGGAAUCACUGGGCGUAAAGGGCGCGUAGGCGGGAUGGCAAGUCGGUCGUGAAAUCUCUCGGCUCAACCGAGAAACGUCGGCCGAUACUGCCGUUCUUGAGGGAUGCAGAGGAGACUGGAAUUCCCGGUGUAGCGGUGAAAUGUGUAGAGAUCGGGAGGAACACCGGUGGCGAAGGCGGGUCUCUGGGCAUUUCCUGACGCUGAGGCGCGAAAGCGUGGGGAGCAAACGGG